UUGAGUAGCAAUACAAGAAUAGUUUAGUGGCGCACGGGUGAGUAACACGUGAAUUACAUGCCCUGCAGAGGGGGAUAGCCCAGGGAAACUUGGAUUAAUACCCCAUGGUAUCGCAAGAUUAAAGGUGGCCGCAAGGCUGUCGCUGCAGGAUUGGUUCGCGCCCUAUCAGCUUGUUGGUGAGGUAACGGCUCACCAAGGCUACGACGGGUACCUGGUCUGAGAGGACGAUCAGGCACACUGGAACUGAGACACGGUCCAGACACCUACGGGUGGCAGCAGUCGAGAAUAAUUCACAAUGGGGGCAACCCUGAUGGUGCAACGCCGCGUGGAGGAUGAAGGUCUUCGGAUUGUAAACUCCUGUCAUCCGGGAGUAAGACCUGGCGAUGAAUAGUCGACAGGGUUGAUAGUACCGGAAGAGGAAGGGACGGCUAACUUCGUGCCAGCAGCCGCGGUAAUACGAAGGUCCCGAGCGUUGUUCGGAAUCACUGGGCGUAAAGGGAGCGUAGGCGGCGUGGUAAGUCAGAUGUGAAAUCCCGGGGCUCAACCCCGGAACUGCAUCCGAUACUGCCGUGCUAGAGGAUUGGAGAGGUAGCUGGAAUUCACGGUGUAGCAGUGAAAUGCGUAGAUAUCGUGAGGAACACUCGUGGCGAAAGCGAGCUACUGGACAACUCCUGACGCUGA
rnacentral:rRNA from 1 species